rnacentral:rRNA from 1 species
AUGCAGGUGCCCUGUUUGGACGUCCUUGAACGUGUUUCAUCGAUUCUCAAGGAUCACGGUUUUUCUCCUGCUCCAGAAUGUGUAGACAUUAGAAACCUCUGCCCCUAUCAUGAUGUGUUGUCAAGUGAGGAAAUACCUAGAAAACCUGGGGAAAGUGUCGCAGACAGGGAAGCUCUAGAAAUGGAUUAUCUACGCACAGUAGUGAACAAGGCUGCAAGGAGGAAGAGAAAACCGAGACGAUGGGAGCACAAACUCGCCAGGAGAAGCUUCUUCCCAUGGUGGAGAUCGGUGUUAUCUGCCCGGUCUAAAGUCAAGAUCAUGCCCCACAAAUGGGCAUGUCCUUCUGAAUGCUUGGAUCUCAAGAUGGCUUGGAAUAAACCCGUUGAACGCCUGGAUGGCGAGACAGCUUCGAAGAAGGCAACCGCCCAGCAGGAUGGUUCUGCUGCUGCAGCUCCCGGCUCGAUGGGUCGAGUUCCCAUGGUAGUAUAUAGUAGCAAGCCCGGUGAGUUGUUUACUGUAAUACCGCUCGAUGAUAUACCCAAAUACAUGAGGCGACACAGAAGGCAAUCCAGAAGGCUGUUUAGUACAGCGGUUACUUAUCAGCCCAGGAUGGUGAUUGGUGCAGCGGUUAAUUCUCAGCCCAGACGGCUGUUUGGUACAGCGGCAUCGAUGCUGCUCAAAGUGCUGAAGAGGGCAUGA